GCAGCCUUCGCGAAUCCCAGCAGCUCUGAACUAAACCACUGGCCCACGAGAAAGACCCAAAAGGCCGCGCGAACCCCUAGCCCAGGGCUCUGCAGCUCUCCUGGUCGAUCCCGCAGACCCGCACCACCCGUUCACCCCCGGCGGCGCCCCUUCGCUCCCCCGACACAUUUCCGCGAGCAGCUGGUGCGCGCGCGGAGCGGAGGCCAUGGCGAUGGCGAAGGCCAAAUCCACCGCCCUCUCCGCCGCCGAAAAGUGCCGGAACAUCCUGGGCGCCAGUUGGGAAGCCCACCUCAACACCAUCAAAGCCGACGCCAAGGGAAGCAAGGGGGAGGUUUACACGUCGAGAGUGCACUACAUGGUCCAAAAGGGCAUGCCCUACUUGAUCGUGCCCGAGAACGACAUGCACAACAUUAACAUUAUAAUCGACGAGCGGGGUUCUCUCUCGGUGUCCAGUCCAGUCCCAGGUCGCCUUGCCAGCUUGCUCAAGUCACUCAACAAGUUGCCUCCCCGGGUUGCUAUGACCGGCGAUGUCCUGCGCAUGAAGGAGACAAAGGUUCCAGUUAUAGCUGAGAGCCUUAAGAAAGCUAUUCUGAAGGAACAUAAAGCUGCUAGCGAAGCUACUUAUGGGGUUUCAACGGUAUUGUCUUCCGCAAGUGCUACUUGUAGGUCGCGCAGUGAAGGUCUCCUUAGCUUACUCAAUGAAGAGAGCUCCUACAAUAUCUUGAAGUUUGAAAUUGGCUCGUGUGUCUUCAUAGAUUCAUUGGGGAGCAGCCAUAAUAUCGAAUUGGAUACUUUUGAACCACCAAAAGCCGACCUGCUAUUGCCAUUCUCUUCGAGGCUUAUUGAUGGUAUCAACAGGAGUGACCCAAGGCGGAGAGCACUUAUACUUUUCUGUUUCGAGUAUUUUGAUGUGACUGCCAGAGAUGCACUCUUGCUCUCCGUUGAUCACCAUGGAUUUGAGGUGCUCGCCAGGGUUCCUGAAAGAGCUACCGCACCUGAUGUCCCUCAGCAGUACCAUUGGAAAGAGUUCAGGUUCACAUUCAAGGAAGCAGUCAAGGAUGUUGAAGACUUCUGCCGCAUGUUGGUUGAGCUAGAAGAAGAAGCUCUGCACAGCGUAAAGAGCUAUAGCGGAUUAGGUUGAAGGGGAUAGUAGCUCUUUCUCAAACCAAAGGGCACAAGAUUCAGAUCUUCAGUUAUGAUAAUAUAAAUCAUCUGAAGAAUAUAACUUGAAUCCAUUUUUGUAGAUGGUUUGCAUUGUAAACUGACAUCAUUCGAUUGAGAAUCAACAGUUAGUAACACAUGAAGCACUUGAAAAUGUCACUUGAAUUAUGGCAGCGUCCCCGUCUCCAGAGAGGUCUUGACUCCCGUCUCUGUCUUGCCUUCUCCACGCCGAGAAUUCAGGCUGAAAAUUAAUGUAAAGAGCUAUAGCGGAUUAGGUUGAAGGGGAUAGUAGCUCUUUCUCAAACCAAAGGGCACAAGAUUCAGAUCUUCAGUUAUGAUAAUAUAAAUCAUCUGAAGAAUAUAACUUGAAUCCAUUUUUGUAGAUGGUUUGCAUUGUAAACUGACAUCAUUCGAUUGAGAAUCAACAGUUAGGUUUGUAUGUCACCAUAAUUUUCAGCCUCUGUUUGGUACUUAUUUACAAAUCAGAAAGGAAACUUCUCUGCAGACCA